GGGUAGUUUAACUGGGGCGGUUGCCUCCUAAAGUGUAACGGAGGCGCCCAAAGGUUCCCUCAGAAUGGUUGGAAAUCAUUCAUAGAGUGUAAAGGCAUAAGGGAGCUUGACUGCGAGACCUACAAGUCGAGCAGGGUCGAAAGACGGACUUAGUGAUCCGGUGGUUCCGCAUGGAAGGGCCAUCGCUCAACGGAUAAAAGCUACCCCGGGGAUAACAGGCUUAUCUCCCCCAAGAGUUCACAUCGACGGGGAGGUUUGGCACCUCGAUGUCGGCUCAUCGCAUCCUGGGGCGGUAGUACGUCCCAAGGGUUGGGCUGUUCGCCCAUGAAAGCGGUACGCGAGCUGGGUUCAGAACGUCGUGAGACAGUUCGGUCCCUAUCCGUCGCGGGCGUAGGAAAUUUGAGAGGAUCUGCUCCUAGUACGAGAGGACCAGAGUGGACUUACCGCUGGUGUACCAGUUGUCUUGCCAAAGGCAUCGCUGGGUAGCUAUGUAGGGAAGGGAUAAACGCUGAAAGCAUCUAAGUGUGAAACCCACCUCAAGAUGAGAUUUCCCAUGAUUUUAUAUCAGUAAGAGCCCUGAGAGAUGAUCAGGUAGAUAGGUUAGAAGUGGAAGUGUGGCGACACAUGUAGCGGACUAAUACUAAUAGCUCGA
rnacentral:rRNA from 12 species